GAUGAACGCUGGCGGCGUGCCUAAUACAUGCAAGUCGAGCGAACAGACGAGGAGCUUGCUCCUCUGACGUUAGCGGCGGACGGGUGAGUAACACGUGGAUAACCUACCUAUAAGACUGGGAUAACUUCGGGAAACCGGAGCUAAUACCGGAUAAUAUAUUGAACCGCAUGGUUCAAUAGUGAAAGACGGUUUUGCUGUCACCUAUAGAUGGAUCCGCGCCGCAUUAGCUAGUUGGUAAGGUAACGGCUUACCAAGGCAACGAUGCGUAGCCGACCUGAGAGGGUGAUCGGCCACCCGGGAACUGGGACGCGGUCCAGACUCCUACGGGAGGCAGCAGUAGGGAAUCUUCCGCAAUGGGCGAAAGCCUGACGGAGCAACGCCGCGUGAGUGAUGGAGGUCUUCGGAUCGUAAAACUCUGUUAUUAGGGAAGAACAAAUGUGUAAGUAACUAUGCACGUCUUGACGGUACCUAAUCAGAAAGCCACGGCUAACUACGUG
rnacentral:rRNA from 1 species